GAUUGGUUGCAAAAGAAACAUCAAACCCAUCUUUGGUAAUCUCCCGGGGUAAACCUAAUGGAAAAAAAACACAGUGAGAAACAUUAGAUGGGGCUUGCACCUCCAACCGAAAGCGUUUUUUCUUAUGCUCCCACAUUGUAAACACGGAGUAAAAACAAACCUCUA